GACGAACGCUGGCGGCGUGCUUAACACAUGCCAGUCGAACGGUAAGGCCCCAGCUUGCUGGGGUACACGAGUGGCGAACGGGUGAGUAACACGUGGGUGACCUGCCCCGCACUUCGGGAUAAGCCUGGGAAACUGGGUCUAAUACCGGAUAGGACCGCACCGUGAGGGUGUGGUGGAAAGUUUUUCGGUGUGGGAUGGGCCCGCGGCCUAUCAGCUUGUUGGUGGGGUAAUGGCCUACCAAGGCGGCGACGGGUAGCCGGCCUGAGAGGGUGGACGGCCACAUUGGGACUGAGACACGGCCCAGACUCCUACGGGAGGCAGCAGUGGGGAAUAUUGCACAAUGGGCGGAAGCCGGAUGCAGCGACGCCGCGUGGGGGAUGACGGCCUUCGGGUUGUAAACUCCUUUCACCAUCGACGAAGGUUUUCUGACGGUAGAUGGAGAAGAAGCACCGGCUAACUACGU
rnacentral:rRNA from 1 species